CACUAGCCCAGAUAGCAGUGGAAAUCCUUUUCUUUUUUUUCUUUAAAAAAAGAAAAGAUUGUAACGAAUAGCUGGAAAUAGC
rnacentral:sRNA from 1 species